ACGGAUUGUUCAUAAACGGAGAAACAGAACAAAAUGGCCGAUUUGAAUUAUGAAGAGCCUGUUGUGGACAAUGGAAAUAGAGAAUAUUCUCCAGAAAGAACGCCUGUUAAGCCAAGCAGACGGUCCCGAUCACGGUCACGGUCACCCAUUCGGAGAUCACGCUCGCGGUCACCACGGCGACGGAGGUCAGUGAAUCUCAUGUCGAAACGUGUGAUGGUCAGCAACAUUCCUUACGAGAUGAAGUGGCAGCACAUCAAAGACAUCUUCAGAAAGGAAGUUGGUGACGUGUCUUAUGUGAAUAUGUUUGAAACGCCUGAUGGAAAAUCGAGUGGUUCGUGUGUUGUUGAAAUGAAGACAAUGGAUCUUACAAGAAAGGCAAUUGAGGUUAUGCAUAAAUUCAAAGUCAAGGACAGAUUCCUGACCGUUCGAGAGGAGCGAGAGAGUGACCUACGGCGACAGGAGAUGUAUGGCGGCGGUGGUGGCGGCGGUAUGGGGAACAUGUCUCAGGGAGGCGGUGGAAACGUCGGCCUUGGUAUGGGUGGUGGCGGUAUGGGCGGAGGCGGAAUGGGCGGAGGCGGAAUGGGCGGAGGCGGAAUGGGCGGAGGUGGUGUUGGCGGAGGGGUGGGCAUGGUCGGCAGUCAGAACAUGGGAAUGGGCGGCCCCAUCAACAACCGUAUCCUACAGCAGCUCGGAAUCGAAGGACCGCUUUCAAACACGGUGUUUAUCCACAAUCUGGAUUUCCGUGUGACGUGGCGUAAACUGAAGGAUGUCUUCAAACUGGCUGGCAAUGCAAUAAAGGCCGAUAUCAAAGUAGACAAGGACGGCAAGAGUCGCGGCUUGGGAACGGUCCAGUUUGAAACUCCGCUGGAGGCCGUGCAAGCAAUCUCUAUGUUCAACGGUCAGACGCUGUACGACCGGCAGAUGAUGGUCCGAAUAGACAAGACGGAGGAGCCCAAACCACCGGCGCCACGACUGCCCAGUGGCCUGAGGUCUAUAGGCAUGGGGCUUGGUAUAGGUGGAGCCCCCCUGCAGAAUCUAUCGCAGCUGCCGGGAGGUAUGGACAGUGGAAUUAGAGGUGGUGGAAGUGGCGGUAUGGGUGGUGGUUUCGGUAGCAUGUCUGGUAUGGGCGGAAUGGGCUCCAUGGACAUGGGCGGUGGGAUGUCCAGCAUGGGGGUUGGAAUGUCUGGCAGUAUGGGCGGGCUGUCUGGCAGCAUGGGGGGCCUCUCUGGAAACAUGGGGGGCAUGUCUGGAAACGUCGGCGGACUGUCCAGCAGCAUGGGCGGGAUGUCUGGAGGUUUGGGCGGGAUGGGGAGCGGGUCCAGCAGCCUGGGUGGGUCAAUGGGGAUGGGGGGAGGCAUGGGGGGCAUGUCCGGAGGCAUGGGGAUGGGAAGCAGCCUCGGGGGCAUGGGGGGCAGCCUUGGCAUGUCGGAUAACUUCAGCUCGGGCAUGGGGGGCAUGUCGUCGAACCUCGGUUCCGGGAUGGGCGGGGGGAUGAAGGACUCGAUGGGGGGGAUGGGAAGUAUGGGGGGAUCCAUGAUGAACUCCAGUAUGGGAGCGUGGGGCUCGGCCAACAUCGGCUCCAGUGGCAUGUCAUCGAACUCUGGAGACUCGGGUCACUAUGGCAACUACGGCUUGAAUGACCGGCGGGGAUCCAGCGGUCUGACGAGGCCGGACAACUGCACGGUUAUUGUUAAAAAUUUGCCGUAUUCCUUUACCUGGCAAACUUUAAAGGAUCGCUUUCAAGAUGUCGGCAAAGUAAAGUUUGCAGAGAUAGAGAAGGAGAACGGAAGAUCGUCUGGUGUUGGAUACGUUCGAUUUGGGAAUCCCGGUGAUGCUGAGAGAGCUGUCACUGUGAUGAACCGCGCUCGAAUGGAGAGUCGCGAGAUUCUGGUGCGCCCGUACCGCAACUGAACUACUGCACCGACAGAUAGACGGACGGUCGGACAGAGAUGUAAAGAAUCCUGAUUGCAGUGAAAUGAGGUUUUCUGUGAACUGUUUGUGAUAGGUCCCCUUUGGAUGAGAAGCUAGAGAUAUUGGAUUGUGGAUUCCUUUAAAACAAAAGCCUUCAGCUACAGCCAGAUUCAGGUCACAGGAUGGAACUGACAAGGAGGUCUGCCGUGUCAUGAAGUACACCGUUGAGAGGAGAUACAUUCUUAUUCUGGGACUAGAGGCGCUGUGGACUAGUGUUCCCAUGACGACAUGGAGGGAUGGUUUAGUAGAUGGGCGUACAGUGCCUGCAGAUAGCGUUGUGAUAAACAGAAUCGGUCUACAGUGCAAUCAUCAUUAACUGUCAUUGUGAUGGUGGUGAUGGACAUAAGAUAGAUGCCAGGGAAUUGUGGAUUCCUGCAUAGACUUGUGGUUGUUGUAAGAAUCAAGUGGACUGUAUGUGAUGCCAGGGAGUCACCAAUGCCUGCGUGGACCAUUGUGGUUGUUGAGAAUAGAUGGACUGUAUGUGAUGCCAGGGAGUUAUGCAUGUCUGCAUGGACUGUUGUGGUUGUUAUAACAAUCAAAUGGACUGUAUGUGAUGCUAGGAAGACAGAUGUCUGUGUGGAGUGGUGUGGUUGUUAUAAGAAUUAAAUGGACUCUUUGAAGUCAGAGAGUCAUCAGUGUGGAAUACAGUGUUGUGAUUGUUAUGAACAUUAAAUUGACUGCAGCAUGGAAGGGACCAAGCCUCAUGAAUUUCCCAUUCUUACCUUCACAAAAUAAAUUUGAUAUUUGUAGAUGGCAAUUUAUUGAACAGGCUACAGAAUUAUACACUUACUAUCCAUGUGCUGAGGUGCAUUAAACAAACAUUCCAAUCAA
rnacentral:misc_RNA from 1 species